AGCCUAUUCUAGCCCAACCCAACAACACAGCUUAACUAUUAAAAACCUAUUAACUAUUACUAAACCAAACCAUUUUUCCAACUUAGUAUAGGUGAUAGAAAAGACCUUCUUUGACGCUAUAGAAAUUCGUACCGUAAGGAAAGCUGAAAUAACAAUGAAAAACAGAGCAACAAAAAGCAAAGAUGAAUCCUUGUACCUUUUGCAUCAUGAUUUAGCAAGAACAACCAAGCAAAGUGGACUUAAGCUUGCCUCCCCGAAACUUAAGCGAGCUACUCGCAAGCAGUUAUUUAAUGAGCGAACCCGUCUCUGUUGCAAAAGAGUGGGAUGACUUGCUAGUAGUGGUGAAAAGCCAACCGAGCUAAGUGAUAGCUGGUUGCCUGCGAAAUGAAUCAAAGGUCCUCUCUUGACCCUCUCCCUAGGAAACGCAACAACCCUUACGUGACAGAUCAAGACCAAUUUAAAGGAGGUACAGCCCCUUUAAAAAAGAAAACAACCUUUAUUAGAGGAUAACCUAUUAAAUUUAAAGUCCUGUAGGCCUUCAAGCAGCCAUCAAUAAAGAGUGCGUCACAGCUCCAUACAUAAAAAUAUUAUAAUAAAAUGACUCCCUUCCUACUAGCAGGCCAACCUAUAACAAUAGGGGAAUUAAUGCUAAAAUAAGUACCUAGGGCUUCCCCUCUCAAGCGCAAACUUAUAUCCCAAAUCAUUAACAGACCAAACUAAUAUUUCAACUCCAACUAGAUUAAAAUAUUUAUAUGUACUGUUACCCCAACUCAGGAGCGCUCAACUAGAAAGAUUAAAAUCUGUAAAAGGAACUAGGCAAACCCAGGGCCCGACUGUUUACCAAAAACAUAGCCUUCAGCCAACCAAGUAUUGAAGGUGAUGCCUGCCCAGUGACAUAUUUGUUUAACGGCCGCGGUAUCCUAACCGUGCGAAGGUAGCGCAAUCAAUUGUCUCAUAAAUCGAGACUUGUAUGAAUGGCUAAACGAGGUCCUAACUGUCUCUUACAGAUAAUCAGUGAAAUUGAUCUCCCUGUGCAAAAGCAGGGAUACAUCCAUAAGACGAGAAGACCCUGUGGAACUUAAAAAUCAACAACCACUACAUACGUACUCAAACCUAAUAGGCUCACCACUACAAAUGCUGGUUUGUAUUUUUUGGUUGGGGCGACCUUGGAGAAAAAACAAUCCUCCAAAGACAAGACCACACCUCUUAACUAAGAACAACCCUUCAACGUGCUAAUAGUAACCAGACCCAAUAUAAUUGAUCAAUGGACCAAGCUACCCCAGGGAUAACAGCGCAAUCCCCUUCAAGAGCCCACAUCGACAAGGGGUUUACGACCUCGAUGUUGGAUCAGGACAUCCUAAUGGUGCAGCCGCUAUUAAGGGUUCGUUUGUUCAACGAUUAACAGUCCUACGUGAUCUGAGUUCAGACCGGAGUAAUCCAGGUCGGUUUCUAUCUAUGAUAAACUUUUCCUAGUACGAAAGGACCGGAAAAGUAGGGCCCCUACCACAUAGUACGCCCUCUCUCUAAAUAGUGAAUUCAACUAAACUAUCAAGAGAUAAUCAAACCAAUAGUCCUAGAAAAGGACUA
rnacentral:rRNA from 1 species